rnacentral:misc_RNA from 1 species
GAAAUGCGAUAAUUAAUGUGAAUUGCAGAAUUCAGUGAAUCAUCGAGUCUUUGAACGCACAUUGCGCCACCUGGUAUUCCGGGGGGCAUGCCUGUCCGAGCGUCAUUGCUGCCCUCAAGCACGGCUUGUGUGUUGGGCUUCCGUCCCUGGCAACGGGGACGGGCCCAAAAGGCAGUGGCGGCACCAUGUCUGGUCCUCGAGCGUAUGGGGCUUUGUCACCCGCUCCCGUAGGUCCAGCUGGCAGCUAGCCUCGCAACCAAUCUUUUUAACCAGGUUGACCUCGGAUCAGGUAGGGAUACCCGCUGAACUUAAGC